rnacentral:sRNA from 1 species
AGCAGCCGCGGUAAUUCCAGCUCCAAUAGCGUAUAUUAAAGUUGUUGCAGUUAAAAAGCUCGUAGUUGAAUUUCGAGAUCGGCUUACUGGUCGUGCUUUUGUACGUACUGGUAAAUCGGUUUCUCCUUUCUGACGAACUUUAAUGCCAUUAAUUUGGUGUUUUAGGGAAUCAGGACUGUUACUUUGAAAAAUUAGAGUGUUUAAAGCAGGCUCACGCUUGAAUACAUUAGCAUGGAAUAACGGAAUAGGACGUUUGAUUUUAUUUGUUGGUUUCUAGGAUCGACGUAAUGAUUAAUAGGGAUAGUUGGGGGCAUUAGUAUUCAAUUGUCAGAGGUGAAAUUCUUGGAUUUAUUGAAGACUAACUACUGCGAAAGCAUUUGCCAAGGAUGUUUUCAUUAAUCAAGAACGAAAGUUAGGGGAUCGAAGACGAUCAGAUACCGUCGUAGUCUUAACCAUAAACUAU